UACGUAGGUGGCAAGCGUUGUCCGGAAUUAUUGGGCGUAAAGCGCGCGCAGGCGGUCCUUUAAGUCUGAUGUGAAAGCCCACGGCUCAACCGUGGAGGGUCAUUGGAAACUGGGGGACUUGAGUGCAGAAGAGGAAAGUGGAAUUCCAAGUGUAGCGGUGAAAUGCGUAGAGAUUUGGAGGAACACCAGUGGCGAAGGCGACUAUCUGGUCUGUAACUGACACUGAGGCGCGAAAGCGUGGGGAGCAAACAGG
rnacentral:rRNA from 1 species